GCGGAGGGGCCGGGCCGGCCGCGUCCCCGCGGCCUCGGCCGCGCUCAGCUUGCUGAAGAGGAUGUGGAAUGAUAAAAAAUGGAGCUGAAAAAUGUCACCAGAGGACUAUUUUUGGACUCGAUCAACAGAAUGGAUCCUCUCCUAAGAAGGUGGUCCUCUUACUUACUCCAGCGCUAUAAAAUGCAGAUGUUUCUCUUCUAGCAAGCAAAACCUGUCCUUCAUUUCCAUGGAGCUGAACAAACAAAGAUCUGUCCACUUCUGUUUGAAUCAUCUCACCAAACGUUUGAUUCACCAGAUGACUUCCCCCACAGAAAUAGCCCACUGUUUUAUCAAAACUCAGAAGCAGAGUAACAGAAAUCAGCAUUUGUUUUUCUGAAAAAAUGUCUUCUGUGCCAGCUCUUCAUUCAGUUUUCUGCAUUCUAUUUUAAAAUGAAAAAUACUUUGUAAUCAGAUGCAAGUGGAAGCUGGUGUUUUUCACUGGUAUUUCCUUCUUAAUUUUAGGAAGGUUAAGUACUUCGCUGUGUCAAAUUGGAAUUCCUAGCAGAUAAAGUGUCUGCAUGCUUUACUGUGUCAGACUGACCUGAUAUAGAUGAAAAGUUGCAGCACGAAUAACAGAACAUUUUCUGCUCUGAUGUGAGGAAGAAACCUAUCGAACAACUAGGGGCAUCUCAUACAGGUAUUUUCUAGCCCAGGUCCCAGGCUUGACUUUGUAGAUAGAUGUCAACUCACAAAAAGCAGCUAAUGCACAAGAACAAAUACAGAAUUACCUUGUCUAUACUGUGUAUCUGUGAUCAAAGUGUAUGUUUGGAUGUGUGAACCUCUGUAAGUGCAGGAUAUGAAGAGCUUUCACCUGAAGAAGAAAUUACUCUGCAUCAUUUCAUUUUUAGCAAAGAAAAAGGAAGCUUUGAAGGCCUCUGGGGUAAUGACUAGGAUAAUGACUAGGUUUGCAUUAAAUCAUUCCCUUCCUCAGGCUUUUUAUGAAUCCUUAGCAUCAAAAGGAACAAGACCACUCUACAGCAGAAGAGAUGGGCAGAACAUCUUUCUUUAUUAUAGAAAUUAACUUCUGAUGGGAUGGAAGAGACCAGAGCUGUAAAGUUGCAGUUCUUGACACAGUUUCAGAUUUCCCUACUGCUGAUGGAAUCUUGGUUUUUGAUUCUUUCAUGACUGAGAACUGAAAGGACCUGUAUGUUUCCGUCAUCUAGGUAGAAAUAGGCCCAAGAGAAUGGAAUGUUAGCCACGUAAGAGGGGUGAGUUGAGAGCAGAAAUACUUAAUACAGUCCUUUUUCUGGCUCUUCUAUUCCUUCCCAAACUAAGGCACAAAUCUGGUGGUUUUUAUGUUUACACAAGAUUCUUCAUCUACGUAAUUUGUAAUUAUAUAAAAUGUUUUCUGUCAUUCUGAGAUGGGAGCAUAUACUGUUUACAUGCUCCCUGCUAUGGGAUUAUCUAUAACAAGUAAGAUUUUUGGCAAAAAGCUACCAGAAUUGGGAUAUGUAUUAUAUUCCACCUCAAAUCUGAAACUCUUCUUAGUGCACCUUAUUCCAAGCUUGUGAUUUAGAAAAUGUGAUUUGCUAGCUAAAAAUAUGGGAGAUGCUAAAACAGUUGGGGAGGUGUUCUACAUUUCUUGUUUUGUUCUGUGUUUCCUUUUAGGAAACUGCUGGAGAGAGCCAGAUAGCCUGAAAAUGGCUGAAAGAGCAAACAGUUGAAAUCCUUCUUAAAUCUUGGUGAUAGAUUACCAGGGCAGUAUUCUAAUAUCAAAAAUGUGGUGACAUUUUAUGAAACCAAGUUCCAUAGCAGAGUGAGGACAAGCAUUGAUGUUGAUCCUAAUCCUCCAAGUAAUGUCUCUGUUUAGACUUGUUUUGUAACAAUAGGAUUUAAUGACAGCUUUACCCAUUUUUUGUUUCCAUGAAGCAAAGAGCAGACAUCUAAGCUUAAGAGUGGUGGGCAGGACACUGCAUAUCAAAGUAAUGCCAACUUCAAUGAGCAGAGGGGCUCUAAAAUGGUAAUAUUGUGGUGAGCUGUGUGAUAAAGAGUUAACAUUGAGCUUGAUGAGGCAGCCGCCAGCUUGGCCUGACUUAGGAUUUCUUUGCUGAAUAUGGUCUGAACUUUCUGGCCUUGGAGGCAACUAGAAAAGCACACUUCCUUUAAGGGCCUCCUUACUUUGAAGUCAAUAGGAUUUAAUGGAGAUGUCUGUAGAAGCAGGAUCCAUCUCUAAGUGAUGGAAGAUACUGUCAGUAUCAUAGGAUUACAGUGGGUGGGAAGUAUGUGGUAUAAGAAAUGUCUGAUUUUAGAUCUGGGAAUUUUCUUUCUUCCUUCUGUCCAUACUUAUCCCUCUGAUGUUAGAGAUAGCAGGUGUUUCUUGCAUAGCUUGAUGACAAAAUACGUGGGGGACAGGAAGGUAUUUUUGUUUUCUGUGGACAUGUACAAAAAUUGCAAGUUUGUCUGACUAGAGACCUGAUAAUCUAAGCUCCUUAACCUCAAUAUUUUGUAACCUGGCAUUGUAACAAAAAAGUAGAAUUACUGAUUUCUUUUCUUGACUCCUACUCAUGACAGUAUAAAAAAAUUGGUUUUCAAGUUUAAUUUUAGAACAUCAGGAUUUUAUUAGGUUAAGGAUCUGUGGCUUUCACAGAAAUAAUACUCCAGUAGUGCAUGCCCAGAAGACCCCAAUUGCUGUACUUUCCUGGCCAGCACCUUUAAAGAACUGCUGUGUUUGGAAAUGCUGCUUCAUCUGACUCACUUUUUCUUGCU